rfam:Schistosoma mattheei strain Denwood, Zambia genome assembly, scaffold: SMTD_scaffold0015207
AUCCAGUUAACGAGUCCCAGAUAGAACGAAACGCACUUCCUGAAU